AAAUAACAGUAAAAAUAAUAAUGAAGAAAAAUAAUUAAAAAUAAAUAAAUAAAUAAAUAUAAAGGGUAAAAGGGGAAACCGAUUAUAUGAAGGGUGGUCGGUCAGAAGAAAGGGCGACGAUAGACCGGGGCAAGGGUGGGUGUUGGGGUUGCUGGUUGAGAGUGGGGGCUGUCGCUGGAGCGCGCGCGGGGUAAGGGUGAGGGUGGUGUGCGAUGGCUUUUGGGGCGUCGGGUGAAGGUGACGACAGGUUAGGGGGAGGUUGUGCGUGAACGAGGUAAGGAUAGAAGGGCGAGGGAGGGGAGAGAGG
rnacentral:lncRNA from 1 species